UCUCCGUUGGUGAACCAGCGGAGGGAUCAUUACCGAGUUUACAACUCCCAAACCCCUGUGAACAUACCUUAAUGUUGCCUCGGCGGAUCAGCCCGCGCCCCGUAAAGCGGGACGGCCCGCCAGAGGACCCAAACUCUAAUGUUUCUUAUUGUAACUUCUGAGUAAAACAAACAAAAGAAUCAAAACUUUCAACAACGGAUCUCUUGGUUCUG
rnacentral:misc_RNA from 1 species